GAACUGGUUGUUGACCUUGACUA
rnacentral:siRNA from 1 species